ACCCAGCUGAAGAGUUCUAAAUACGACGAAACGCGAGUUCUGGAU
rfam:Schistosoma margrebowiei strain Zambia genome assembly, scaffold: SMRZ_scaffold0000599